UCCAGUAAAAAAUGCCCUCAUCCAGGUGUUCUCCAACACCAAUUUUCCUCUGUCACUUGCUGAGGGAGCCUUAGGAACCUGGGCUCAGUGGCUCACCUGUGUUCAGGGGGAGCAAUUUCCUGGCAGGGAGGAUGAAGAGGAUUCCUUAUAUAUUAUCAGAAAAAGGUUUAAUUUAAACAUGGCAGAAAAAUCCCUGAGUUCCAGCACAGUGAGACAUGAGAAGAGACUGAUUGUGGCAUUUUCAGAGCUGUGUCUAAGCCCUGUCAAAGAGGGCUAGGGGGGAUGAAGCUGUUCUGUGGAAAGAGUGGAUCUGGAUCAUUUCUCCCUGUCCUGCCAUGCCCAGCUUCCACAGCUGAAAAGAAACCCACUGACCCUGGCCUGAUAGGUGAGUAGGUUUUUUCCACAACUGAUUGGCAUUGCUUUUCCUGGUGGUGCUGUGACAGCCUUUGGGAUCAGAUGGAUUUCUGCCCUACCUGCUGCUGUCAAGGCACUUGACGAGGCUUUACCAGUCAGAGCAAGGCUGGGGAGGAUUUGCAGAACACGGAGUGUCAUCUGCAGAGCCCCCCACCUCCUCCCAACACUGCUCCUGCAUGACUGCCCAGAUGGAUUUGAACUGCAGCAAUUUAGAUUUUAAAAGAUGGCAUCACAUCCACUCCUGAACACACCUCAGGGUGAUUUUACAGACAUGAUGUAACAGAAAAGACAGAGUCACACAGGAAGGCCAGCCCCAGGUGUCAGGGACACGUCACAGCUGGGGUUUUCUGUGCUGCCUGCACGGAAAGCAGAGGUUUCAUGAUGACCACGUGUGAACAACAACCACCACACUCCAUCCAUCCCACUGAUGAGGCAGGUGAGAAUUAGAUCCCAUUGGAAAACUAAUAUUUACUCAGCUCCCUGCUGGGCAGCUCUGCCUGGCAUUGCUUGGAGUGCAAACGGAGUUUCUAUGGUGGUUCCUGGCACCCAGCACAGCUUCACUCUUCCCACAGGGUAAAUUGGCACA